ACGGAAGGCAGCAGUGGGGAAUAUUGCACAAUGGGGGAAACCCUGAUGCAGCGACGCCGCGUGAGUGAAGAAGUAUUUCGGUAUGUAAAGCUCUAUCAGCAGGAAAGAAAAUGACGGUACCUGACUAAAAAGCCCCGGCUAACUACGUGCCAGCAGCCGCGGUAAUACGUAGGGGGCAAGCGUUAUCCGGAUUUACUGGGUGUAAAGGGAGCGUAGACGGCUUUGCAAGUCUGAAGUGAAAGCCCGGGGCUCAACCCCGGAACUGCUUUGGAAACUGUAGAGCUAGAGUGCAGGAGAGGUAAGUGGAAUUCCUAGUGUAGCGGUGAAAUGCGUAGAUAUUAGGAGGAACACCAGUGGCGAAGGCGGCUUACUGGACUGUAACUGACGUUGAGGCUCGAAGGCGUGGGGAGCAAACAGGAUUAGAUACCCUGGUA
rnacentral:rRNA from 1 species